rnacentral:rRNA from 1 species
GAUUACGCUGGCGGCGUGCAUGAGACAUGCAAGUCGAACGGACACUCAGGGCUUGCUCUGAGUGUUAGUGGCGGACGGCUGAGUAACGCGUAGGUGACCUGCCCCGAAGUGGGGAAUAACUGCCCGAAAGGGUGGCUAAUACCGCAUGUGGUGAUGCGUUCAUUCGCAUCAGUAAAGCCGCAAGGCGCUUCGGGAGGGGCCUGCGUCCGAUUAGCUCGUUGGUGAGGUAACGGCCUACCAAGGCGACGAUCCGUAGCCGGCCUGAGAGGGCGGUCGGCCACACUGACACUGACAUACGGGUCAGACUCCUACGGGAGGCAGCAGUCGGGAAUUUUGGGCAAUGGGCGAAAGCCUGACCCAGCAACGCCGCGUGAAGGAUGAAAUCCCUCGGGAUGUAAACUUCGCAAGAACGGGAAGAAUAAGACGGUGCUAACACCACCGGCGAUGACGGUACUGUUUGUAAGCUCCGGCUAACUCCGUGCCAGCAGCCGCGGUAAUACGGGGGGAGCAAGCGUUGUUCGGAUUUACUGGGCGUAAAGGGCGCGUAGGCGGCCACCGCAAGUCGAUUGUGAAAUCUCCGGGCUUAACCCGGAAAGGUCAACCGAUACUGCGGGGCUAGAGUGCAGAAGGGGCAACUGGAAUUCUCGGUGUAGCGGUGAAAUGCGUAGAUAUCGAGAGGAACACCUGCGGCGAAGGCGGGUUGCUGGGCUGACACUGACGCUGAAGUGCGAAAGCUAGGGGAGCGAACGGGAUUAGAUACCCCGGUAGUCCUAGCCUUAAACGAUGAAUGCUUGGUGUCUGGGGUUUUAUAGUCCCCGGGUGCCGUCGCUAACGCUUUAAGCAUUCCGCCUGGGGAGUACGGUCGCAAGACUGAAACUCGAAGGAAUUGACGGGGACCCGCACAAGCGGUGGAGCAUGUGGUUUAAUUCGACGCAACGCGAAGAACCUUACCUGGGCUAGAAUGCCUCUGACAGCCCCAGAGAUGGGGUCUCCUGGGUAAAACCAGGCAGAGUGCAAGGUGCUGCAUGGCUGUCGUCGGCUCGUGUCGUGAGAUGUUGGGUUAAGUCCCGCAACGAGCGCAACCCUUAUCAAUAGUUGCCAGCGGUUCGGCCGGGCACUCUAUUGAGACUGCCGUUGACAAAACGGAGGAAGGUGGGGAUGACGUCAAGUCCUCAUGGCCUUUAUGUCCAGGGCUACACACGUGCUACAAUGGCCGGUACAAAGCGCUGCAAAAGAGCAAUCUGGAGCCAAUCGCAAAAAGCCGGUCUCAGUUCGGAUUGGA